rnacentral:rRNA from 1 species
GAUGAACGCUGGCGGCGUGCCUAAUACAUGCCAGUCGAGCGAACAGAUGAGGAGCUUGCUCCUCUGACGUUAGCGGCGGACGGGUGAGUAACACGUGGAUAACCUACCUAUAAGACUGGGAUAACUUCGGGAAACCGGAGCUAAUACCGGAUAAUAUAUUGAACCGCAUGGUUCAAUAGUGAAAGACGGUUUUGCUGUCACUUAUAGAUGGAUCCGCGCCGCAUUUGCUAGUUGGUAAGGUAACGGCUUACCAAGGCAACGAUGCGUAGCCGACCUGAGAGGGUGAUCGGCCACACUGGAACUGAGACACGGUCCAGACUCCUACGGGAGGCAGCAGUAGGGAAUCUUCCGCAAUGGGCGAAAGCCUGACGGAGCAACGCCGCGUGAGUGAUGAAGGUCUUCGGAUCGUAAAACUCUGUUAUUAGGGAAGAACAAAUGUGUAAGUAACUAUGCACGUCUUGACGGUACCUAAUCAGAAAGCCACGGCUAACUACGUG